AUGCACGCUGGCGGCGUGCCUAAUACAUGCCAGUCGAGCGAACGGACGAGAAGCUUGCUUCUCUGAUGUUAGCGGCGGACGGGUGAGUAACACGUGGAUAACCUACCUAUAAGACUGGGAUAACUUCGGGAAACCGGAGCUAAUACCGGAUAAUAUUUUGAACCGCCUGGUUCAAAAGUGAAAGACGGUCUUGCUGUCACUUAUAGAUGGAUCCGCGCUGCAUUAGCUAGUUGGUAAGGUAACGGCUCACCAAGGCAACGAUGCAUAGCCGACCUGAGAGGGUGAUCGGCCACACUGGAACUGAGACACGGUCCAGACUCCUACGGGAGGCAGCAGUAGGGAAUCUUCCGCAAUGGGCGAAAGCCUGACGGAGCAACGCCGCGUGAGUGAUGAAGGUCUUCGGAUCGUAAAACUCUGUUAUUAGGGAAGAACAUAUGUGUAAGUAACUGUGCACAUCUUGACGGUACCUAAUCAGAAAGCCACGGCUAACUACGUG
rnacentral:rRNA from 1 species